rnacentral:rRNA from 1 species
GACGAACGCUGGCGGCGUGCCUAAUACACGCAAGUUGAGCGCUGAAGGUUGGUACUUGUACCAACUGGAUGAGCAGCGAACGGGUGAGUAACGCGUGGGGAAUCUGCCUUUGAGCGGGGGACAACAUUUGGAAACGAAUGCUAAUACCGCAUAAAAACUUUAAACACAAGUUUUAAGUUUGAAAGAUGCAAUUGCAUCACUCAAAGAUGAUCCCGCGUUGUAUUAGCUAGUUGGUGAGGUAAAGGCUCACCAAGGCGAUGAUACAUAGCCGACCUGAGAGGGGGAUCGGCCACAUUGGGACUGAGAAACGGCCCAAACUCCUACGGGAGGCAGCAGUAGGGAAUCUUCGGCAAUGGACGAAAGUCUGACCGAGCAACGCCGCGUGAGUGAAGAAGGUUUUCGGAUCGUAAAACUCUGUUGGUAGAGAAGAACGUUGGUGAGAGUGGAAAGCUCAUCAAGUGACGGUAACUACCCAGAAAGGGACGGCUAACUACGUG